CAUCAGGGCCUUGCCUCCCAGCGACAAUGCUUCAGGGCAAUAAUGAAGAAGAGUCUCUUAUAAAGGUAUGGCGAGAUUGCCACUCCAAAUCCCUGUCCUCCGAAGCCUUUGCUUUUUAGCAGUCAUGGGUGUGACUUGACUCGUGGUUCUCAAGCCUAAAAACGACCCCCCAGGUGAGGAAUCCCUGGAGGAAAUCCACUGGAGAGCCGCCUUUGGAGGAGCCGUAAAGCCAUCUCAUGCAAAGCAAGAGGACUCUGGCUGCUGGUCUCGAACAAGCAGGCCCAGUGCCUCUGAACAUCGCAGACACCGCUGACCUCUGAUUUGUCUCCCUCGCUUUGACCUGCUCUGUGUUGUCCUGUGUGUGAGACGCGAGAGCUUCUUCAGCUUGUGAGCAGCCGUGUCGUCUGCCGUGCUGAGUCCGCCGCCGCUCCGGGCGCUGGUGCCUGUGAGGGCGUAUUCGUGCACACCCAGAGCCUGUGAGGGGCGGAGAGACGCUGGUGCACUUCAUCUAGACGGGUCCUUCACCCUGGUUCCCACCAAGGACAAGCUCGCUGCCUGUCUCUUAGAUAAGAGUCCAGUAACCCGCGGAAUAAAAUCUGUUGUUUGUUGUCGCUCUUUGAAGGUACGGGUGAGCCUUAUCAGUGAAAUUAGAGGAGUUCCCGGGUGACGCACAGUGUUAAUACUGAGCAUUUGAGGACUGGCCAGGAGGUUGGUAGUUUGAAUCCAUCCAAAGGCUCCUCAGAAAACUGCCCCAUUGGUGAUCUUCUGGAGGUCACAGCUUAACCUAUGCAGCAGUUUCUCUGCACACAUGGAGUCCGAUCAGCUCUGUGGCAACCAAGAAUGUGAGAAGAAUGGGUUGGGAGGAGUUGGGUGGGGGGAAAUUAAAAAAAAAAAAAAGAAGAAUGGGUUUAAGAAGUCACAUCUGGCCUGCCAGUCAGGCCUUGAUUCACUGUCAGUCUUCCAGUUUGGCUGUGCUGCUACCUCUGUGUGCCUCAAGUUUGCCAGUGUGGGGGUCAGCUGAGUUCUGUUGGGGAGAUUUGGGCUUGCUAACAGUUGCUAAGUGCUGUAUUGUCAACUGCAGCAUAGUCAUCCCCAUAACACAACAUCUUUAUGGCCAAACUGCCUGCCCCUGAAACCAACUUGUCCUGGGUUAGAAGAUGAGAAAUGGUGACUCCGUGGAGGUCUCCAGCCCUCUGUUGUCCCCCUUCCAAGGACAAACAGGGUGCUAUACAUACCUUUGUCUUGAGGGUGACCAUUCAUGUGCUGCUAGACAGUGUAAGACAGUGUAACAUGACCUGGGAGGGUGUGGAAACCCCUUGCUUUUUACUUCACUUUCGAAUGGCUGAUUUGACUGUUGUUGUGCUACUGGAUGACCCUGUAUCCCUGCCUCCCCAAUUUGGCCAUCUCUUUCCGAAAGUAAUGCAGUGGGUCCUCUAGCCAACUUCCACGCUUCCUCUCUCUCUAUUGCUCUGAGUGAUACACGGUGGCUCAGUCUGGUUAUUGGCCAGUGCUGGAACCCGACACUCCAAAUGCUUGGGGACAUUCUCAAGUACACAGUGCCUCUAACAGCAGACCGAGGCAGGUAAGAGUAUGAGGCACCAUGCUUAGGACUCGCCUUCAGAAGAAUGAUCAGUGAGCAGCAUAUGGGUACUAUAGCAAAGUGUGGUGCAGAAAUCAAAUAGCAGGGUGACAUUUGAUGUCUCAAAGGCUUGUCUUAGCACAAGGAGCCAUCUCAAUGAUGUGUCAGCCUAGUCCAGGUGGAAGGAACACACCAGCCAGUGUGAUCCAAGGAUUACGAAUAGUAAAAUCCAUGCUCAGAGGAGAAAUUGUAUUAAAACUUUAAAUUUGUUUGCAAAAGGUUCAAGAGUACAUUUCAAAGAUGUUUUCAGGUGAUGGUGAUGUUUCCAUGUUGCGUGAGCCACAGCAUGGGUGGGUCAUUGUGCCUCUAAGGCUGUGCCUGGUGGCCACAGUUUUAUUUGAGACACAGCCCCUGAAGCCUUCUAGCAAUGGGGCUUUUUGCAGAUUGUGGCUGUUGUCCCGCGGUCCCUGCGAGGGUUUUUGAGCAUACUGGCCCGGCUCACGUUCCUGCUUGGGUGCCUUGGCAGUGCCUGUCUUUGUGGCUUUCUUGUCUGCUGCCGGUCUGUCACCACAGCCUCAGACAUGCUAGCCUACACUAAGGUGUCAGUGGUGCAUGGCGCUCCUCUCAGAAGGGCUGGCGUCUCAACUGGGAUUUUGUUGUGAUGGGGUUGGGGCGGUGUUAUGGGACCACCUACCUGGUACCUCUGAAAUACCCAAAGCCGCGGCCAGCUUUCCUCACCCUAGGGCAGGCAGCUGCUGCACCAGGCCUCAGCAGGAAGGGUAAGCCUCGCUGUUCCAACCCUGCCUGGCGCUGGCCAGCAGCCACUGGUGUGCCCCGCUGGGUGGCUCCAGGAGCCCUGGUGGUGCAGUGGGUGAGACUCCAGCUGCUAACUGGGGGACCGUUUCAAGGCCACCAGCUGCUCUGACCGAGAGACACGGAACUGCCUGCUUCCACCGAUCCACGUCCUCAGGAUCUGGCACAGUUUUCUCUGAUGUAGAAGGUCACUGAGCCAGAAUCGACCUGGUGGCAGUGGGUUUAUGUGUGUAUCCCUUGAUUAUCUGUUGGCUUCAUUUGGGGUUCUAAGCAUGCACACCUGCCUUGCGACAUAUCCCUGCCUCCACAUUUUUUUAAUUGUUUUAUUAGGGGCUCAUACAACUCUUAUCACAAUCCAUACAUCAAUUGUGUAAAUCCCCACAUUUAUUAUAGACCAAGAACUGUGUGUUUUAAGAUUUUUUUCUUCCAGUGAAAUUUCCCUCUUUGGUGGAAUAAAUUCCCGUUUUGAACACGAAA